UACGGGGGGGGCAAGCGUUGUUCGGAAUUACUGGGCGUAAAGGGCUCGUAGGCGGCCAACUAAGUCGGACGUGAAAUCCCCAGGCUCAACCUGGGAACUGCGUCCGAUACUGGAUGGCUUGAAUCCGGGAGAGGGAUGCAGAAUUCCAGGUGUAGCGGUGAAAUGUGUAGAGAUCGGGAGGAACACCGGUGGCGAAGGCGGGUCUCUGGGCAUUUCCUGACGCUGAGGCGCGAAAGCGUGGGGAGCAAACGGG
rnacentral:rRNA from 1 species